rnacentral:rRNA from 1 species
GCUUGUCUCAAAGAUUAAGCCAUGCAUGUCUAAGUAUAAGCAUUAUACAGUGAAACUGCGAAUGGCUCAUUAUAUCAGUUAUAGUUUAUUUGAUAGUCCCUACUAUUUGGAUAACCGUAGUAAUUCUAGAGCUAAUACAUGCGCACACCCCGCGGCAACGCGGGGGUAUUUAUUAGAUACAAUCGACCCCCCCGGGGCUCUGAUGAUUCAUAAUAACUGAGCGAACCGCAUGGCUUUUGCUGGCGGUGGUUCAUUCAAGUUUCUGCCCUAUCAGCUUUCGAUGGUAGGGUAUUGGCCUACCAUGGCGUUAACGGGUAACGGAGAAUUAGGGUUCGAUUCCGGAGAGGGAGCCUGAGAGAUGGCUACCACAUCCAAGGAAGGCAGCAGG